GAUGAAGAACGUAGCGAAAUGCGAUACUUGGUGUGAAUUGCAGAAUCCCGUGAACCAUCGAGUCUUUGAACGCAAGUUGCGCCCGAAGCCACUAGGCCGAGGGCACGCCUGCCUGGGCGUCACACGCCGUUGCCCCCCCAUCUACUCCUUCGGGAUUGCGGGGGGGCGGAUGAUGGCCUCCCGUGCGCCUAGCCGCGCGGUUGGCAUAAAUACCAAGUCCUCGGCGACGCACGCCACGACAAUCGGUGGUUGCGAAACCUCGGUUGCCCGUCGUGUGCGUUCGUCGCGCAUCGAGGGCUCGAAAAAAUGCUCGGCUCCGGCUGGGCUUUCAACGCGACCCCAGGUCAGGCGGGGUUACCCGCUGAAUUUAAGCAUAUCAAUAAGCAGAGGA
rnacentral:misc_RNA from 1 species